GAUGAACGCUAGCUACAGGCUUAACACAUGCAAGUCGAGGGGCAGCAUGACCUAGCAAUAGGUUGAUGGCGACCGGCGCACGGGUGAGUAACACGUAUCCAACCUACCGGUUAUUCCGGGAUAGCCUUUCGAAAGAAAGAUUAAUACCGGAUAGUAUAACGAGAAGGCAUCUUUUUGUUAUUAAAGAAUUUCGAUAACCGAUGGGGAUGCGUUCCAUUAGUUUGUUGGCGGGUAACGGCCCACCAAGACAUCGAUGGAUAGGGGUUCUGAGAGGAAGGUCCCCCCANAUUGGAACUGAGACACGGUCCAAACUCCUACGGGAGGCAGCAGUGAGGAAUAUUGGUCAAUGGACGAGAGUCUGAACCAGCCAAGUAGCGUGAAGGAUGACUGCCCUAUGGGUUGUAAACUUCUUUUAAUAUGGGAAUAAAGUGAGGCACGUGUGCCUUUUUGUAUGUACCGUAUGAAUAAGGAUCGGCUAACUCCGUG
rnacentral:rRNA from 1 species